UUUGAUCCUGGCUCAGAUAUGAACGCUGGCGGCAUGCCUUACACAUGCAAGUCGGACGGCAUCGCGGGGGCAACCCUGGCGGCGAGUGGCGAACGGGUGAGUAAUACAUCUGAACGUGUCCUGGAGUGGGGGAUAACCCGGCGAAAACCGGAUUAAUACCGCAUACCCUCUGAGGAGGAAAGCGGAGGAUCUUCAGACCUCGCGCUCAAGGGACGGCCUAUGGCAAAUUAACUAGUUGGUGGGAGACAGGACUACCAAGGCCACGAUCUGUAGCUGGUCUGAAAAGACGACACAUCAACCUGGGACUGAUAUACGGUCCUCACUCCUACCGUAGGCAUCAAGUGAGGAAUUUUCGACAAUGGGGGCAACCAUAUGCUAGCAAUGCACUGUUGAGGCAACAAAGCAUCCGUAACACUAUAUGGCAUUGCGCCCGAAAACAACCUUCAUUGCCCGCUAUCUCUAAAUACCC
rnacentral:rRNA from 1 species